AGUGAACGCUGGCGGUAGGCCUAACACAUGCAAGUCGAACGGCAGCACAGUAAGAGCUUGCUCUUACGGGUGGCGAGUGGCGGACGGGUGAGGAAUACAUCGGAAUCUACUUUUUCGUGGGGGAUAACGUAGGGAAACUUACGCUAAUACCGCAUACGACCUACGGGUGAAAGCAGGGGAUCUUCGGACCUUGCGCGAUUGAAUGAGCCGAUGUCGGAUUAGCUAGUUGGCGGGGUAAAGGCCCACCAAGGCGACGAUCCGUAGCUGGUCUGAGAGGAUGAUCAGCCACACUGGAACUGAGGCACGGUACAGACUCCUACGGGAGGCAGCAGUGGGGAAUAUUGGACGAUGGGCGCAAGCCUGAUCCAGCCAUACCGCGUGGGUGAAGAAGGCCUUCGGGUUGUAAAGCCCUUUUGUUGGGAAAGAAAAGCAGCAGGUUAAUACCCCGCUGCUCUGACGGUACCCAAAGAAUAAGCACCGGCUAACUUCGUG
rnacentral:rRNA from 1 species